GCCUAAAGCGUCCGUAGCCGGCUCAGUAAGUUUUCGGUUAAAUCUGUACGCUCAACGUACAGGCUGCCGGGAAUACUGCAGAGCUAGGGAGUGGGAGAGGUAGACGGUACUCGGGAGGAAGUGGUAAAAUGCUUUGAUCUUUCGAUGACCACCUGUGGCGAAGGCGGUCUACCAGAACACGUCCGACGGUGAGGGAUGAAAGCUGGGGGAGCAAACAGGAUUAGAUACCCGGGUAGUCCCAGCUGUAAACUAUGCAAACUCAGUGAUGCAUUGGCUUGUGGCCAGUGCAGUGCCGCAGGGAAGCCGUUAAGUUUGCCGCCUGGGAAGUACGUACGCAAGUAUGAAACUUAAAGGAAUUGGCGGGGGAGCACCACAAGGGGUGAAGCCUGCGGUUCAAUUGGAGUCAACGCCAGAAAUCUUACCCGGAGAGACAGCAGAAUGAAGGUCAAGCUGAAGACUUUACCAGACAAGCUGAGAGGUGGUGCAUGGCCGUCGCCAGCUCGUGCCGUGAGAUGUCCUGUUAAGUCAGGUAACGAGCGAGACCCUUGCCUCUAGUUGCUACCAUUGCUCUCUGGAGCAGUGGGGCGAAUUAGCGGGACCGCCGCAGUUAAUGCGGAGGAAGGAAAGGGCUACGGCAGGUCAGUAUGCCCCGAA
rnacentral:rRNA from 1 species